rnacentral:tRNA from 9 species
GGCCCCUUGGUCAAGCGGUUAAGACAUCGCCCUUUCACGGCGGAGACAUGGGUUCGAUUCCCGUAGGGGUCACCA